GACGAACGCUGGCGGCGUGCUUAACACAUGCCAGUCGAACGGAAAGGCCCUGCUUUUGUGGGGUGCUCGAGUGGCGAACGGGUGAGUAACACGUGAGUAACCUGCCCUUGACUUUGGGAUAACUUCAGGAAACUGGGGCUAAUACCGGAUAGGAGCUCCUGCUGCAUGGUGGGGGUUGGAAAGUUUCGGCGAUUGGGGAUGGACUCGCGGCUUAUCAGCUUGUUGGUGGGGUAGUGGCUUACCAAGGCUUUGACGGGUAGCCGGCCUGAGAGGGUGACCGGCCACAUUGGGACUGAGAUACGGCCCAGACUCCUACGGGAGGCAGCAGUGGGGAAUAUUGCACAAUGGGCGGAAGCCUGAUGCAGCAACGCCGCGUGCGGGAUGACGGCCUUCGGGUUGUAAACCGCUUUCGCCUGUGACGAAGCGUGAGUGACGGUAAUGGGUAAAGAAGCACCGGCUAACUACGUG
rnacentral:rRNA from 1 species